AGAAUAAUUCACAAUGGGCGAAAGCCUGAUGGUGCAACGCCGCGUGGAGGAUGACGGUCUUCGGAUUGUACACUCCUGUCAUCGGGGAGUAAGACCUGGGCGUGAAUAGCGCCCAGGGUUGAUAGUACCCGAAGAGGAAGGGACGGCUAACUUCGUUCCAGCAGCCGCGGUAAUACGAAGGGCCCGGGCGUUGUUCGGAAUCACUGGGCGUAAAGGGAGCGUAGGCGGUUGGGUAAGUCAGAUGUGAAAUCCCGGGGCUCAACCCCGGAACUGCAUCCGAUACUGCCUGACUUGAGUAAUGGAGGGGUAGCUGGAAUUCUCGGUGUAGCAGUGAAAUGCGUGGAUAUCGAGAGGAACACUCGUCGCGAAGGCGAGCUACUGGACAUUUACUGACGCUGAGGCUCGAAGGCCAGGGGAGCAAA
rnacentral:rRNA from 1 species